rnacentral:rRNA from 1 species
UAAUAAUAUUUUUUGUUUGCCGUUAAAAGCUCGUAGUUGGAUUUCGGUUAGGAGCGACCGGUCCGCCGCUUGGUGUGCACUGGUUGGUUUUAACUUCCUGUAGAGGACGUGCUCUGGGUUUAACGACCUGGACUCGGAGUCUACGUGGUUACUUUGAAAAAAUUAAAGUGUUCAAAGCGGGCUUACGCUUGAAUAUUUCAGCAUGGAAUAACACUAUAGGACUCCUGUCCUAUUUCGUUGGUCUCGGGACGGGAGUAAUGAUUAAGAGGAACAGUUGGGGGCAUUCGUAUUUCAUUGUCAGAGGUGAAAUUCUUGGAUUUAUGAAAGACGAACUUCUGCGAAAGCAUUUGCCAAGGAUGUUUUCAUUAAUCAAGAACGAAAGUUGGGGGCUCGAAGAUGAUUAGAUACCAUCCUAGUCUCAACCAUAAACGAUGCCGACUAGGGAUUGGCGGAUGUUAAUUGAUGACUCCGCCAGCACCUUAUGAGAAAUCAAAGUUUUUGGGUUCCGGGGGGAGUAUGGUCGCAAGGGUGACACUUAAAGGAAUUGACGGAAGGGCACCACCAGGCCCGGAGCCUGCGGCUUAAUUUGACUCAACACGGGAAAACUUACCAGGUCCAGACAUAGUAAGGAUUGACAGAUUGAGAGCUCUUUCUUGAUUCUAUGGGUGGUGGUGCAUGGCCGUUCUUACUUGGUGGAGUGAUCUGUCUGGUUAAUUUCCUUUAACGAACGAGACAUCACCCUGCUAAAUAGUUGUACGCUACUCUUAGCGCAGCACUUCUUAGAGGGACUAUGGCGUUUACCCAAUGGAAGUUUGAAGGCAAUAACAGGUCUGUG